rnacentral:rRNA from 1 species
CGCACGGGUGCAUAACGCGUGGGAAUCUGCCCCUGGGUUCGGAAUAACAGCGAGAAAUUGCUGCUAAUACCGGAUGAUGACGAAAGUCCAAAGAUUUAUCGCCCAGGGAUGAGCCCGCGUAGGAUUAGCUAGUUGGUGAGGUAAGAGCUCACCAAGGCGACGAUCCUUAGCUGGUCUGAGAGGAUGAUCAGCCACACUGGGACUGAGACACGGCCCAGACUCCUACGGGAGGCAGCAGCU